rnacentral:rRNA from 1 species
UACGUAGGGUGCGAGCGUUAAUCGGAAUUACUGGGCGUAAAGCGUGCGCAGGCGGUUUUGUAAGCCAGAUGUGAAAUCCCCGGGCUUAACCUGGGAAUGGCAUUUGGGACUGCAAGGCUGGAGUGUGGCAGAGGAGACUGGAAUUCCUGGUGUAGCAGUGAAAUGCGUAGAUAUCAGGAGGAAUACCGGUGGCGAAGGCGGGUCUCUGGGCCGAUACUGACGCUGAGGAGCGAAAGCGUGGGGAGCGAACAGG